CCUACGUGUGGCAGCAGUGGGGAAUUUUGGACAAUGGGCGCAAGCCUGAUCCAGCUAUUCCGCGUGUGGGAAGACGGCCUUCGGGUUGUAAACCACUUUUGUAGAGAACGAAAAGUCUGUUGAUCAUACCGCUAGAUGAUGACGGUACUCUAAGAAUAAGCACCGGCUAACUACGUGCCAGCAGCCGCGGUAAUACGUAGGGGGCAAGCGUUAUCCGGAUUUACUGGGUGUAAAGGGGGCGCAGACGGCAAUGCAAGCCCGGAGUGAAAGCCCGGGGCCCAACCCCGGGACUGCUCUUGGAACUGCAGGGCUGGAGUACAGGAGGGGCAGGCGGAAUUCCUAGUGUAGCGGUGAAAUGCGUAGAUAUUAGGAGGAACACCGGUGGCGAAGGCGGCCUGCUGGACUGUGACUGACGUUGAGGCCCGAAGGCGUGGGGAGCAAACAGGAUUAGAUACCCUUGUAGUC
rnacentral:rRNA from 1 species